ACGGAAGGCAGCAGUGGGGAAUAUUGCACAAUGGGGGAAACCCUGAUGCAGCGACGCCGCGUGAAGGAAGAAGUAUCUCGGUAUGUAAACUUCUAUCAGCAGGGAAGAUAAUGACGGUACCUGACUAAGAAGCCCCGGCUAACUACGUGCCAGCAGCCGCGGUAAUACGUAGGGGGCAAGCGUUAUCCGGAUUUACUGGGUGUAAAGGGAGCGUAGACGGAGAAGCAAGUCUGAUGUGAAAGGCAUGGGCUCAACCUGUGGACUGCAUUGGAAACUGUUUUUCUUGAGUGCCGGAGGGGUAAGCGGAAUUCCUAGUGUAGCGGUGAAAUGCGUAGAUAUUAGGAGGAACACCAGUGGCGAAGGCGGCUUACUGGACUGACACUGACGCUGAGGCACGAAAGCGUGGGGAGCAAACAGGAUUAGAUACCCUGGUA
rnacentral:rRNA from 1 species